UCUUGCAUUAUUAGCUUUUACCAGUGAUAGUAGGUGCUCCCACAUAAAGAAGUCCUGCAGUAGACUCCACUAAAACAAUAAAAACCACCUACUGAUAGAGAUGGGAGACUCCUUCCUUCUUAAGUGCUGCUGCCUACCUAAUUGAGAUGCUCACAGAGUAUAAAUCAGCCAUUUCCUACUCUGCUGGAAUUGUAAUGACAGUUAUCCUAGUGGGCUUAAACAAUUGCUGCUGCUUGUGUAGAUAGUUCUUGCCUUUCAUAAGUGCUCUGGAGGGAGAGUAAAACGUUUAUAGCCUGUUCCAGCAGCAUCCAGGGUGAGUAGUCUACUGAUCUGAUCUUCCAGAGGUUUUUCUUUAAAUAGCUUGCUCACUGUAGAAUUGUUAUGAUGACUUUUAGAUGUCUGUGUUGCCUGGUGUAGGACAAGUUUGAUAUUUCCCUGUCAGUAUAGAUAAACAGGCAGUAUUCAUUGAGUUCUUUCUCAUAUAUAAAUUUGAGCAACAAAGAGAGGUUAGUGGGGAAAGGUGAACUACAGCUCUGUCCCUACAGGUGUAGUAUAACUCAAGAGUGAAAUUAUAAUUCAAUAUGCUUACUGUGAUAAAGACUCAGCUAAGGAUGUGGAAGUCGAAGAAUGGAGGGAGGAUGUAAAAAGAAGCAUUACUAGCUUUGUACGGGUACUUUAAAGUGUGACUGUAUGGAUUGGUCUAGCAAUGAAAACUAAUUACCUAACUUUUUAUCAUGUUUUCUUCCAUAACUAUGUAUCAAUUGUUUCAUGGAUCUUAAAUAGCCAGAUACUCUCAAACAUGCUGUUUGACUGUGAGGCUUCUACUGAGAUCAUGCCCAGGAGCAGCAAAAAUCAUGCUGGGAGCUCAGCAGAUUUGGAUCUACAGCAUGACUCCUCAAAGCAAUCUGUAUCAGGGGAGAAAAAAAUCCUAACAUGGCAGCAAGCAAGGUUUAAAGAUGUGUAGGUGUUGGUAGUCUCUGAUGAUCUGUCUGUACUUAAUUCCCUCUCAGCUGACAUGAUAAGCUUGUCCUGAGAAUGGAUGCUAUAGCAACUUGGGGCCUAACUCCUCUUUGUGUGGGGAAGAAUGCAAAUGAAGGGAAAUAACUAAAGGGAAA